GGCUUUCUUAUGGCAGAGGAAAAAGCACAAUGGCAGAAACCACAGGAUAAUUGUUAAUGGACACAGGAUGAUCAUACUUGCGAACAGUGGGAAGAUGUCACCACUCCUGGAAGCCCUUUCUUGCACUGCCUGGCUCUUCAGGUUUCCUGCUUCAUCCUGCACCUGCCUUCUUGAAAGAAAACAAGACAUCAGAUACUUAUUCAAAUAAUGGAAUAGCUGAUCAACUGGGUCUCCACACAAAAGAGAGUUAUCCAUGAUAAAAGAACAACUUUUUCAUGCAUUAUAUGUGACAUAUGCAUGCUUUCUCUUAAGAUUUAUGAACCCAUGACUAUUAGUAUUGUUAAUAUAAUCAAACCUUUUGCAGCCUUACUCUAAAGCUUAAACUUAUUAUCAAUUGGCUGCUAGAGGGGAGUCAAUCAAUUUCAUAAGUGCUUAAACACCUGCACUCUCUUUGAAUCAGGGAGAUAAAUCAAUACUAAGUCCUCAUUUUUUCCAAGUAUAUAAUGCAGCCAAAUCUUGCUUACAAGUUCAAGAGGAUUUGUGAUUCAACAGCCACACUUUAAAGACGUCAUGAGCUUGAUGCUGAGUAGUGGUGUUUUUUUUUAAAUGAAAAAU
rnacentral:lncRNA from 13 species